UACAGAGGUGCCGAGCGUUAGGCGGAAUCACUGGGCUUAAAGCGUGUGUAGGCGGCUGCGUAAGUCCCUUGUGAAAUCCCACGGCUCAACCGUGGAACUGCUCGGUAUACUGCGUCGCUUGAGCCAGCUAGGGGCGACCGGAACAAACGGUGGAGCGGUGAAAUGCGUAGAUAUCAGGAGGAACACCGGUGGCGAAGGCGGGUCUCUGGGCCAUUACUGACGCUGAGGAGCGAAAGCGUGGGGAGCGAACAGG
rnacentral:rRNA from 1 species